UUUUAUCAUUGCAUAAAAGCCCAAGUAAGUAUAAUAUAAGGCUUAAAGCCUGAUUUUACAAUAGAAGACCCAACCCAAAGUACAGGCUCAGUAAUAGAAGCCCAAAGACCCUUCCUCACCAAAGACCCAGCUCUACAUUCAAGCAGAGAGCCAAGAAGCUUGCUCAACGCCGCCUCUUAAAUAGAACCAAAGCCACCCAUCAGAGGUAUAUGCAAAGCUUGAAAAAAUAAGCAGGCCAAGAAGAAACUCCCAUCAUCUCUAUAAAAGCUAAAAGCUCCAGCAGUACCUUCCAUCACUUUCGACUUGGGAAAGAGGAAAACAGAGGUCAUGGCCUUUUAACCAUGAAGUACCAGUGACUUGCUUGUAUUUUUGAACGCCAGCUCUUAAUCUUUGAUAUCAUCUUCCUUGAAUCUACCCCAAUCAGAGGACCUGCACCAAAGCUAUCACACCACAGCAAACACAGAUCAAAGAAACAACAGUCCCUCCGUAAAUAAGCACAAGAUCUGCAAAAUCACUCAAAUCAGAAGGAUAUCUACACCCACAACUAAAGAAUAGGGAUGGAGCUAAGCUUAUAAUCUGGCCAGGUAAGGGCUCCUUCUAUCCCGAAGGGCAAGGGAACCCACCAAAGACGACUUCGACCUAAGCGAGAGAAAACUCUCUCUCUGAAACCUUAGAGGGAGAAUUCAAUUAUUUUUUAACAAAACUGAAAUUUU
rnacentral:misc_RNA from 1 species